AAUGAACGUUGGCGGCGUGGAUUAGGCAUGCAAGUCGUGCGGCAGCAGGCCCCGCAAGGGGUGCUGGCGAGCGGCGAAAGGGUCAGUAACACGUGGAUAACCUACCCCCGGGCCCGGAAUAGCGGCGGGAAAAUGCCGGUAAUGCCGGAUAAUGUCCCUGGACCAAAGGUGUGAUUCCGUCCGAGGAUGGGUCCGCGUCCUAUUAGCUAGUUGGUGAGGGAAUGGCCCACCAAGGCAAAGAUGGGUAGGGGGUGUGAGAGCAUGACCCCCGACACUGGGACUGAGACACUGCCCAGACACCUACGGGUGGCUGCAGUCGAGAAUCUUCGGCAAUGGGCGCAAGCCUGACCGAGCGACGCCGCGUGCGGGAUGAAGGCCUUCGGGUUGUAAACCGCUGUCAGAGGGGCGGAAAUUUAUUGGAGUUCUCUCCAGUAAUUGACUUAACCUCAGAGGAGCAUGGGCUAAGUUCGUGCCAGCCGCCGCAGUAACAC
rnacentral:rRNA from 1 species